AUGAGAAUGCCGAACCCUAGAGAGGUUGAUAGAGCUCUUUUUGUGGAACAUGUUAGACUUAAACAAUGUGGAGUUAGUGUUAAAUUUUCUCCCUGGUCCGAAGAUAUUGAUUCUGAAGGACUUCUGGAAGUUGCAUGGGUCAGAAUUGGCAAGAUCCCACCUAACAAAAGAUCUGAUAAAGUUGUAGCCUAUGUGGGGGGAUUGGUUGGGAUCACUCUGGAGGUGGAUAUGUCGACCAUUAAUCGCCCUUCUUCUGCAGAGCAAAAAUAG
rnacentral:rRNA from 1 species